AGAGUUUGAUCCUGGCUCAGAUUGAACGCUGGCGGCAUGCCUUACACAUGCAAGUCGAACGGCAGCGCGGGAGCAAUCCUGGCGGCGAGUGGCGAACGGGUGAGUAAUAUAUCGGAACGUGCCCAGUAGUGGGGGAUAGCCCGGCGAAAGCCGGAUUAAUACCGCAUACGACCUAAGGGUGAAAGGGGGGGAUCGCAAGACCUCUCGCUAUUGGAGCGGCCGAUAUCAGAUUAGGUAGUUGGUGGGGUAAAAGCCUACCAAGCCUGCGAUCUGUAGUUGGUCUGAGAGGACGACCAGCCACACUGGGACUGAGACACGGCCCAGACUCCUACGGGAGGCAGCAGUGGGGAAUUUUGGACAAUGGGCGCAAGCCUGAUCCAGCAAUGCCGCGUGCAGGAAGAAGGCCUUCGGGUUGUAAACUGCUUUUGUCAGGGAAGAAAUCCUCUGAGAUAAUACCUGGGGGAUGACGGUACCUGAAGAAUAAGCACCGGCUAACUACGUGCCAGCAGCCGCGGCAAUACGUAGGGUGCGAGCGUUAAUCGGAAUUACUGGGCGUAAAGCGUGCGCAGGCGGUUUGCAAGACAGAUGUGAAAUCCCCGGGCUUAACCUGGGAACUGCAUUUGUGACUGCAAGGCUAGAGUACGGCAGAGGGGGAUGGAAUUCCGCGUGUAGCAGUGAAAUGCGUAGAUAUGCGGAGGAACACCAAUGGCGAAGGCAAUCCCCUGGGCCUGUACUGACGCUCAUGCACGAAAGUGUGGGGAGCAAACAGGAUUAGAUACCCUGGUAGUCCACGCCCUAAACGAUGUCAACUGGUUGUUGGACGGCUUUCUGUUCAGUAACGAAGCUAACGCGUGAAGUUGACCGCCUGGGGAGUACGGCCGCAAGGUUGAAACUCAAAGGAAUUGACGGGGACCCGCACAAGCGGUGGAUGAUGUGGUUUAAUUCGAUGCAACACGAAAAACCUUACCUACCCUUGACAUGUCAAGAAGUUUCUAGAGAUAGAUUCGUGCUCGAAAGAGAGCUUGAACACAGGUGCUGCAUGGCCGUCGUCAGCUCGUGUCGUGAGAUGCUGGGUUAAGUCCCGCAACGAGCGCAACCCUUGUCAUUAGUUGCUACAUUCAGUUGGGCACUCUAAUGAGACUGCCGGUGACAAACCGGAGGAAGGUGGGGAUGACGUCAGGUCCUCAUGGCCCUUAUGGGUAGGGCUAUACACGUCAUACAAUGGCCGGUACAGAGGGCUGCCAACCCGCGAGGGGGAGCUAAUCCCAGAAAACCGGUCGUAGUCCGGAUCGCAGUCUGCAACUCGACUGCGUGAAGUCGGAAUCGCUAGUAAUCGCGGAUCAGCAUGUCGCGGUGAAUACGUUCCCGGGUCUUGUACACACCGCCCGUCACACCAUGGGAGCGGGUUCUGCCAGAAGUAGUUAGCCUAACCGCAAGGAGGGCGAUUACCACGGCAGGGUUCGUGACUGGGGUGAAGUCGAAACAAGGUA
rnacentral:rRNA from 1 species